UCACGCUCUACCACUUCUGAGGUUAUCUUCAAAGAUGCCAUGACCAAAGAAAUUUGUAGAGGAUCUGGAAACUGGGUUCCUUCUUCAGGCUGGGAUGUGAUAGCUUGUACUCUAGCAGCAAUCUUGUUACCACCAUGAAGCAACUGAUGGAAAAGUGAGACACAACACCAGGAGCCUGGGUCGCUGAUGACAGGAGGUAGGUCAGCUGUCUCUCCCGG